GCCUAAUACAUGCAAGUCGAGCGAUCAGACGAGGAGCUUGCUCCUCUGACGUUAGCGGCGGACGGGUGAGUAACACGUGGAUAACCUACCUAUAAGACUGGGAUAACUUCGGGAAACCGGAGCUAAUACCGGAUAAUAUAUUGAACCGCAUGGUUCAAUAGUGAAAGACGGUUUUGCUGUCACUUAUAGAUGGAUCCGCGCCGCAUUAGCUAGUUGGUAAGGUAACGGCUUACCAAGGCAACGAUGCGUAGCCGACCUGAGAGGGUGAUCGGCCACACUGGAACUGAGACACGGUCCAGACUCCUACGGGAGGCAGCAGUAGGGAAUCUUCCGCAAUGGGCGAAAGCCUGACGGAGCAACGCCGCGUGAGUGAUGAAGGUCUUCGGAUCGUAAAACUCUGUUAUUAGGGAAGAACAAAUGUGUAAGUAACUAUGCACGUCUUGACGGUACCUAAUCAGAAAGCCACGGCUAACUACGUGCCAGCAGCCGCGGUAAUACGUAGGUGGCAAGCGUUAUCCGGAAUUAUUGGGCGUAAAGCGCGCGUAGGCGGUUUUUUAAGUCUGAUGUGAAAGCCCACGGCUCAACCGUGGAGGGUCAUUGGAAACUGGAAAACUUGAGUGCAGAAGAGGAAAGUGGAAUUCCAUGUGUAGCGGUGAAAUGCGCAGAGAUAUGGAGGAACACCAGUGGCGAAGGCGACUUUCUGGUCUGUAACUGACGCUGAUGUGCGAAAGCGUGGGGAUCAAACAGGAUUAGAUACCCUGGUAGUCCACGCCGUAAACGAUGAGUGCUAAGUGUUAGGGGGUUUCCGCCCCUUAGUGCUGCAGCUAACGCAUUAAGCACUCC
rnacentral:rRNA from 1 species